GUGGACACACUAGAUCACUAUGAUGAUAUCAUCAUCAUUGGACAAAAUUUUCAAGGUGCAACAAAGGGAGAUCCCGAGUAUGAUGAUGUGAAGAACAGCAAUGAAGAUGAGAGAAACCUGUUAGACUAUGAUGAUGUGGGGGAGGAGACACACAAAGAAGGAGGGGCUAUAUGACUCAAUGGCCACACCCUCUGCCUAUGUUCAUG